rnacentral:rRNA from 1 species
UACGUAGGGGGCAAGCGUUGUUCGGAAUUAUUGGGCGUAAAGAGCUUGUAGGCGGUUUGUCGCGUCUGCUGUGAAAUUUCGGGGCUCAACCCCGAACUUGCAGUGGGUACGGGCAGACUAGAGUGUGGUAGGGGAGACUGGAAUUCCUGGUGUAGCGGUGAAAUGCGCAGAUAUCAGGAGGAACACCGAUGGCGAAGGCAGGUCUCUGGGCGAUAACUGACGCUGAGAAGCGAAAGCAUGGGGAGCGGACAGG